AGGGCCAGGACAUCAUAGUGACCCAGGCUGUGAAAACACUUCAGGCCAGUCCCUGAGUAGAAUGAACAACAAGGUAGUCACCAUGCUGACAGCUAUUCCCUGUGUGAUUUACUUUAUCAUGAAGUCUAAAUUUGAUGCUGAAGUGCUAGCCUAAGCUCACUAACCUGCCAACUUAGAGAAGAAGGUAACCAUGGCUAGGAUGACUGGGAAUCUGAUGGACUCAAUUAAGAAUUUCUACAGAUGGGAAAACCAAACUCCUUACUGGCAAGAGGCCAAAGGUGGUCUGCAAAUUGUUGUUUCUGGCUGUUGGAAGUUGACUGCAGUUGAAUAACAGAACAAAAAUGGAGCUUCAAAAUCAUGGCAUGCCUGCUUCUUCUGGAUUCUUUUAACUGCAAGAAAUCAGCUUUGAAGACCACAUAGGGAACUUCUGAUGUGAUACAAACUUUUGUCUUUUUUUUUUUUUUGUCUUUUAAGAGCAUUCAAAAACA